rnacentral:rRNA from 1 species
ACGCACGCUGGCGGCAUGCCUAACACCUGCCAGUCGAACGCGACCUUCGGGUCUAGUGGCGCACGGGUGCGUAACGCGUGGGAACCUGCCCUUAGGUUCGGAAUAAAUCCCCGAAAGGGGUGCUAAUACCGGAUAAUGUCUUCGGACCAAAGAUUUAUCGCCUUUGGAUGGGCCCGCGUUGGAUUAGCUAGUUGGUAGGGUAAAAGCCUACCAAGGCGACGAUCCAUAGCUGGUCUGAGAGGAUGAUCAGCCACACUGGGACUGAGACACGGCCCAGACUCCUACGGGAGGCAGCAGUGGGGAAUAUUGGACAAUGGGCGAAAGCCUGAUCCAGCAAUGCCGCGUGAGUGAUGAAGGCCUUAGGGUUGUAAAGCUCUUUUACCCGGGAUGAUAAUGACAGUACCGGGAGAAUAAGCUCCGGCUAACUCCGUG